rnacentral:rRNA from 1 species
AUACGGAAGGUCCGGGCGUUAUCCGGAUUUAUUGGGUUUAAAGGGAGCGCAGGCGGAGAUGCAAGCGUGACGUCAAAUUUCGGGGCUCAACCCCGUCUCGCGUCGCGAACUGCGUCCCUUGGUUGCGGGAAGGGGAGGCGGAACUCGUGGUGUAGCGGUGAAAUGCAUAGAUAUCACGAAGAACUCCGAUCGCGAAGGCAGCCUUCCGGCCCGUCAACGACGCUCAUGCUCGAAGGUGCGGGUAUCAAACAGGAUUAGAUACCCUGGUAGUCCUCACAGUAAACGAUGGGCACCCGCGGUUUGGCCUAUAUGGCUGAGCCGCCGAGCGAAAGCGUUAAGUGUCCCACCUGGGGAGUACGCCGGCAACGGUGAAACUCAAAUGAAUUGACGGGG